ACGCUCGACACCUACUGGAGGCAGCAGUUGGGAAUAUUGGACAAUGGAGGAAACUCUGAUCCAGUGACGCCGCGUGAAGGAAGAAGGUCUUCGGAUUGUAAACUUAUUUUGUCAGGGAAGAAAAAUGACUGUACCUGAAGAAAAAGCACCGGCUAACUACGUGCCAGCAGCCNCGGUAAUCUGAGCGGGCUGGCAAGGC
rnacentral:rRNA from 1 species